rnacentral:lncRNA from 1 species
AUGAGAGCUUUAGGUUUGACAAUGAAGAAAUUUCUGAAAAGAAACUGCAAAUCUGCAUCGCAUCGGCUUUUUAAGGACAAGGCAAAGAACCACGUUAAUGAAUUGCAACUAAAAUUCAUGGAUUUGCAGUUUUCUAGGAAGGAGAGUCAGACUGUUAUGCCGCCGUUCUCGAGGAGAAAGUUCAUCAGAUGCUUCGUCAUUCUGAGCACGAAUAAUUCAACCAAACACUUCAAAACUCACAAGAAGAUGGCUAAUGUGUACUGCUGGAACAUGAAGAUUUAG